GCGCUGGCGCGCGCGCGGCGCUGCGGUCAUGCAAAAAUGUGGAAUAUAAUUUUACGCGAAGUAUAAACUCCGCGAAUGUUGUUAAAUGCAAAUAUAUUGUGCUCAUUUGUUUCUUCCUACAAUGAAUUGCUACACCGACACCAUCUGACAGCUGCCGCUGGCAGCCGUACGUGUUUUGCACACGCGCCGCAUACUCAAAGCAUAGAAACGGCUGAACAGACCGUGGUUUCGCAUUACUAAAAGUCAAAAAAAGAUAAACCUAUUUUAAGCUCCAAAAUAAAUUAUUCUUUAUAGAAGUAUAGGUAGUUACCUAGCAAAAGUAAUAACAUUGCAAUAUUUAUUUUUAAGGUGCGAGUUCGGCGUGUAAUGACCAGCGCCAUCGCUAUCAUCGCGACGCCAUGGCAACACUGAGAGACUUUAGGCAACACUGCUGGUACAUUCCGCGGCGUUUGACGUUUGGAUCGGGUUAGGCCGCACGCAAACAGCACUACAGUACGUGUUUCAUUAGUGCUAACAUAUCCAGCAUCGCAACAAGGUUUUUGGAACUGAGUCCCUGCGUUCUUAAGCUUCGAGUGUUGGCGCAUGCUGAUUGUGGACACGUGUACGGCAAAAUGGCCAGUGGGAUUGACAGGUUUGCCGUCGUAGAGUUCCCCGAGGAGGACUGCAGCUUGGCACUUGUUCACGGUUCAUGGUUGAAUCCAAAAAGAAAUAGGACAUAUUGGCCUACUUUGAAAAAUUCAUCGCAGCGGCGUAGAGCCACUGUUGAGGGUGCUGCACCAUCUCCUAGCUAGACACAAGCCAACUGUGUGGCGAAAUCCUGGGCUGACACUUACGAAAAGGCAUGUGAGAAGCAGAAUUUCCUGCAAUAUCAUUCGGACAUGAGCUGCGAAGAGGAACUGGGAUGUGGAAAAAGAAAAAAAUGAAGUGCCUUGGCUUCUGAUUACAGCAGUGAGCAAGACACGACUGACGACUCGGGUGAUGACUCAAACUAUCGCCCUCCAAGGCCGCCAACACCACCUCAACUGGUAACAAACAUUGGUGGCUACGACUCAGCUGCUGCCCACGCGUCAUUCAAGAUGCCUGGACGACACCGAAAGAAACGCUCUGCAGGUAUUGUACAUCUUUUUCACUUCAACUUAAAAAUGUAAAAAAAAACUGACAUGGCAAAGUAUGCCAAGUAGAUUUUGAUUUAAGUUUCCAAUGUGUUGCCAAUCUGAAGCAUUAUUGUUGCAAGAAAGUAACCUUAAGUUCCCCUAUGUUAAUGCUAAAUACCAAAUCCUUUGUAUUCACUGUAAGCACGAUAUUGCUCUUGGCAAAGCAACUUGUGUAUGUUUCCUAACGCAACAUCACAAAGUAAAUUUGACUCAUUCGCCACAAGGAUGCACGCAACAGUUCAG
rnacentral:misc_RNA from 1 species